GACGAACGCUGGCGGCGUGCCUAAUACAUGCAAGUCGAACGAGAGCGACCGGUGCUUGCACUGGUCAAUCUAGUGGCGAACGGGUGAGUAACACGUGGGUAACCUGCCCAUCAGAGGGGGAUAACAUCCGGAAACGGAUGCUAAAACCGCAUAGAUCUUCGAGCCGCAUGGCUUGAAGAGGAAAAGAGGCGCAAGCUUCUGCUGAUGGAUGGACCCGCGGUGCAUUAGCUAGUUGGUGAGGUAACGGCUCACCAAGGCCGUGAUGCAUAGCCGACCUGAGAGGGUGAUCGGCCACAUUGGGACUGAGACACGGCCCAAACUCCUACGGGAGGCAGCAGUAGGGAAUCUUCCGCAAUGGACGCAAGUCUGACGGAGCAACGCCGCGUGAGUGAAGAAGGUUUUCGGAUCGUAAAACUCUGUUGUUAGAGAAGAACAAGUGCUAGAGUAACUGUUAGCGCCUUGACGGUAUCUAACCAGAAAGCCACGGCUAACUACGUG
rnacentral:rRNA from 1 species